AUGGCCUCAAGCUCCACCGCCGCCGCCGCACCAGCCCUCAUUCCCAUCGCCGAUCGCCUCCAUCGCUCCAACUUCCUGGUGUGGCGUGCCCAAGCGGUUGCUGCCAUCCGCGGCGCCCAGCUCGUCUCCUACAUCAACCCAGACAGAGAAGAACCGGCGCCCAAGCUCACGGACAAGGAUGGCAAGCCAACAGAUGUGCCCAAUCCGGCGUAUGAGAUCGCCAAGGCGCAGGAUUUCCAGGUUCUGAGUUUUCUGUUCAAUUCAGUCUCACCUCCUGUGAUGAUCCAGAUUGCUCACUGCACCACGGCCUCGGCAGCAUGGACUGCCAUCACGGAGAUGUUCAUCUCCCAAACCCAGGCGCACGUGGUGAACACGAGGAUCGCCCUGUCAAACACCAAGAAGGGCACCUCGACUGUUGCCGAGUACAUCGGCCGCAUGAAGGCGCUCGGAGACGAGCUGGCUUCUGUUGGGAAGCCCCUCACCGACGAUGACAUUGUGUCAUACAUCCUCGCCGGCCUCGACUUCGACUACAUGGGCUUCGUCUCCUCCCUGUGUGCCAGGGCUCAGCCGAUUAAGGUGAACGACCUCUACUCCCUCCUCGUCGGCUUCGAGAACAGGCUCGCCAUGUUCGACGGCGGGCAUCAAUCCUCUGACUCCUCUGCCAACGCUGUCUCU
rnacentral:rRNA from 1 species